UUAAGUGACGAUAGCCUAGGAGAUACACCUGUACCCAUGCCGAACACAGCAGUUAAGCCCUAGAACGCCGGAAGUAGUUGGGGGUUGCCCCCUGUGAGAUAGGGUAGUCGCUUAGC
rnacentral:rRNA from 3 species